CAUGCUCACUCUCCCGGCCCCCCACACUCCCAUUGCCAAGCCGCUUUCCGGGCUCCAACGCCCUGCUGUCAGCCUCAGCUUUCCCCGGGAGGGCGCCGUAUGUGAACUCAGAGAAUCAGACGGAAGCAAAGUCUUUCCGAGGACCACCCGGCCCGAACAAGUCAAGUCCAAGAAGCGCGUUAAACUCCGUCCCAAGGCCGCAGGGACAGAGUAGAUGAAGAUACGGAGCGAGCUUUGUUCAGCUAAACCUUGCACGCAGCUCCUCCAGUCCUUUCCCUCCCACUGUCAUCUUUGGUUAUUCCACCCCCCUCUUCGGCCCCUCCCACUUGUAUCUUGGCGGGCUGGGUCGCCUGCGCCGCCCUCUGAGUUUUGGCUGCACGGAGCGGUUGAAGGACAGCACUCAGACGGAGAGUCAACAUGGCAGCGUUGUUUAGGCGAAGCUGCGGGGUCCUGAGAAAUCUUUCUCAUUUUGACUGGCGAUCACAACAUACAAAAGCCGCCGUACAACGUGAACGAGGAUUGGGGUUUAGUUUUGAGUUGACUGAACAGCAGAAAGAAUUUCAGGCUACUGCUCGUAAAUUUGCCAAGGAGGAAAUAAUCCCGGUUGCUGCAGAAUAUGAUAAAACUGGCGAGUACCCUGUCCCCAUAAUUAAAAGAGCCUGGGAACUUGGUUUAAUGAAUACACACAUUCCAGAAAGUUGUGGAGGCCUUGGACUUGGAUCUUUUGAUAGCUGUUUAAUUACUGAAGAAUUGGCAUACGGAUGUACAGGAAUUCAGACUGCUGUUGAAGCAAAUUCUUUAGGGCAAAUGCCUGUUAUUAUUGCUGGAAAUGCUCAACAACAAAAGAAGUAUUUGGGGAGGAUGACUGAAGAGCCAUUAAUGUGUGCCUACUGUGUAACAGAACCUGGAACAGGCUCUGAUGUAGCUGGUAUUAAGACCAAAGCAGAAAAGAAAGGAGAUGAGUAUAUUAUUAAUGGUCAGAAGAUGUGGAUAACCAAUGGAGGCAAAGCUAAUUGGUAUUUUUUAUUGGCUCGUUCUGCCCCGGAUCCUAAGACUCCUGCUAGUAAAGCUUUUACUGGAUUUAUUGUGGAAGCAGACACUCCAGGAGUACAGAUUGGAAGAAAGGAAUUAAAUAUGGGCCAGCGAUGCUCAGAUACAAGAGGAAUUACCUUUGAAGAUGUGAAAGUGCCUAAAGAAAAUGUUUUAAUUGGUGAGGGGGCUGGUUUCAAAAUUGCAAUGGGAGCUUUUGAUAAAACCAGACCUCCAGUAGCAGCUGGUGCUGUGGGACUAGCAAAAAGAGCUUUGGAUGAAGCUACCAAGUAUGCCCUGGAGAGGAAGACUUUUGGAAAGCUGCUUGUUGAGCACCAAGCAGUAUCAUUUUUGCUGGCUGAAAUGGCAAUGAAAGUUGAACUAGCUAGAUUAAGUUACCAGAGAGCUGCUUGGGAGGUUGAUGCUGGCCGCUCAAAUACCUAUUAUGCAUCUAUUGCAAAGGCAUUUGCUGGAGAUAUUGCAAAUCAGGUAGCUACUGAUGCUGUGCAGAUUUUUGGAGGCGCUGGAUUUAAUUCAGAAUAUCCUGUGGAAAAACUAAUGAGGGAUGCCAAGAUCUAUCAGAUUUAUGAAGGUACAGCACAAAUUCAAAGGCUUAUUAUAGCUCGUGAACACAUUGGCAAGUACAAAAAUUAACAGGAUCGCUAUAGAGCCCUGGGUGGUGUGGCUCAGUUGGUUGGAGCUUUGUUCAGUACAUCAAAAGGUCCUGGAUUCGAUCCCUGAUUGAGGCAUGUUUGGGAGUCAACUGAUCAAUGCUUCUGUCUCUCUUCUCCUUCCUCUCUAAGUAAUAAAAUUCUCCUUCAAAAAAAUUGCUUGGGGAAAAAUUACUAUAGAAACAUGAUUAGUAGAACAUAAUCCACUAUUUAAGCUACAGAAAAAAGAAAGGGUUUCAAGAUUUUUCCCAGUGAAAAUCUUAAAAUAAGUGCUCUUAAGUAAACAUGUGCAACUGAUUCUAAUAGUAAUUUUACCUUUUUUAACUUUAUGACUUGCCUUUCCUCAAAUAGAUUUGGUUUCAUUAAAAUUAUGUGUUGUUCUUAGUACCACUGUACUCGAAUUGUAUUAACCUUGAAAAAUACAUUUGUUUCGUUAUUUCAACCUUUUAAAAUUAAAGUAGCAGAAGUUCCUUGGAAUGUCAAUAUUUUCCCAAUGACAGAAACAUGGGUUGAUGAAAGUAUUCAGGAUGUUUUAAAAUUUACAUUGAGAAAACAUUGUAGGAUAUGAUCCCAUCAAAUAACUUGCCAGUGACUUUCUAAACUUAAUGAUAUUGUAGUAGAGUAGUUCAUUUUGCUACAAUUUGGAAAGUAUUUGUUUUCAGUUUGUAUAGUAAUAGU